GACGAACGCUGGCGGCGUGCUUAACACAUGCAAGUCGAACGGAAAGGCCCUGCUUUUGUGGGGUGCUCGAGUGGCGAACGGGUGAGUAACACGUGAGUAACCUGCCCUUGACUUUGGGAUAACUUCAGGAAACUGGGGCUAAUACCGGAUAGGAGCUCCUGCUGCAUGGUGGGGGUUGGAAAGUUUCGGCGGUUCGGGAUGGACUCGCGGCUUAUCAGCUUGUUGGUGGGGUAGUGGCUUACCAAGGCUUUGACGGGUAGCCGGCCUGAGAGGGUGACCGGCCACAUUGGGACUGAGAUACGGACCAGACUCCUACGGGAGGCAGCAGUGGGGAAUAUUGCACAAUGGGCGGAAGCCUGAUGCAGCAACGCCGCGUGCGGGAUGACGGCCUUCGGGUUGUAAACCGCUUUCGCCUGUGACGAAGCGUGAGUGACGGUAAUGGGUAAAGAAGCACCGGCUAACUACGUG
rnacentral:rRNA from 1 species